CCAUGCUUCCAAGAAAAGCUUCUAAGCUUCAGGUAACCAGGAACCGUACCCCAAACCGACACAGGUGGUCGGGUAGAGAAUACCAAGGCGCUUGAGAGAACUCGGGUGAAGGAACUAGGCAAAAUGGCACCGUAACUUCGGGAGAAGGUGCGCCGGCUAGGGUGAAGGGUUUACUCCGUAAGCUCUGGCUGGUCGAAGAUACCAGGCCGCUGCGACUGUUUAUUAAAAACACAGCACUCUGCAAACACGAAAGUGGACGUAUAGGGUGUGACGCCUGCCCGGUGCCGGAAGGUUAAUUGAUGGGGUUAGCGCAAGCGAAGCUCUUGAUCGAAGCCCCGGUAAACGGCGGCCGUAACGAUAACGGUCCUAAGGUAGCGAAAUUCCUUGUCGGGUAAGUUCCGACCUGCACGAAUGGCGUAACGAUGGCGGCGCUGUCUCCACCCGAGACUCAGUGAAAUUGAAAUCGCUGUGAAGAUGCGGUGUAUCCGCGGCUAGACGGAAAGACCCCGUGAGCCUUUACUGUAGCUUUGCACUGGACUUUGAGCCUGCUUGUGUAGGAUAGGUGGGAGGCUUUGAAGCGUGGACGCCAGUUCGCGUGGAGCCAUCCUUGAAAUACCACCCUGGCAUGCUUGAGGUUCUAACUCUGGUCCGUAAUCCGGAUCGAGGACAGUGUAUGGAGGGCAGUUUGACUGGGGCGGUCUCCUCCUAAAGAGUAACGGAGGAGUACGAAGGUGCGCUCAGACCGGUCGGAAAUCGGUCGCAGAGAAUAAAGGCAAAAGCGCGCUUGACUGCGAGACAGACACGUCGAGCAGGUACGAAAGUAGGUCUUAGUGAUCCGGUGGUUCUGUAUGGAAGGGCCAUCGCUCAACGGAUAAAAGGUACUCCGGGGAUAACAGGCUGAUACCGCCCAAGAGUUCAUAUCGACGGCGGUGUUUGGCACCUCGAUGUCGGCUCAUCACAUCCUGGGGCUGAAGCCGGUCCCAAGGGUAUGGCUGUUCGCCAUUUAAAGUGGUACGCGAGCUGGGUUUAGAACGUCGUGAGACAGUUCGGUCCCUAUCUGCCGUGGACGUUUGAGAUUUGAGAGGGGCUGCUCCUAGUACGAGAGGACCGGAGUGGACGAACCUCUGGUGUUCCGGUUGUCACGCCAGUGGCAUUGCCGGGUAGCUAUGUUCGGAAAAGAUAACCGCUGAAAGCAUCUAAGCGGGAAACUUGCCUCAAGAUGAGAUCUCACUGGGAACUUGAUUCCCCUGAAGGGCCGUCGAAGACUACGACGUUGAUAGGCUGGGUGUGUAAGCGUUGUGAGGCGUUGAGCUAACCAGUACUAAUUGCCCGUGAGGCUUGACC
rnacentral:rRNA from 1 species